GAUGAACGCUGGCGGCGUGCCUAAUACAUGCAAGUCGAGCGAACGGACGAGAAGCCUGCUUCUCUGAUGUUAGCGGCGGACGGGUGAGUAACACGUGGAUAACCUACCUAUAAGACUGGGAUAACUUCGGGAAACCGGAGCUAAUACCGGAUGAUAUUUUGAACCGCAUGGUUCAAAAGUGAAAGACGGUCUUGCUGUCACUUAUAGAUGGAUCCGCGCUGCAUUAGCUAGUUGGUAAGGUAACGGCUUACCAAGGCAACGAUGCAUAGCCGACCUGAGAGGGUGAUCGGCCACACUGGAACUGUGACACGGUCCAGACUCCUACGGGAGGCAGCAGUAGGGAAUCUUCCGCAAUGGGCGAAAGCCUGACGGAGCAACGCCGCGUGAGUGAUGAAGGUCUUCGGAUCGUAAAACUCUGUUAUUAGGGAAGAACAUAUGUGUAAGUAACUGUGCACAUCUUGACGGUACCUAAUCAGAAAGCCACGGCUAACUACGUG
rnacentral:rRNA from 1 species